CCCCGGGGACGGCCCCAGGGGACAUGUCGACUUUCUGCGGGACGACCCGC
rfam:Pantoea ananatis LMG 20103, complete genome.